rnacentral:rRNA from 1 species
AAUCAACGCUGGCGGCGUGCCUAACACAUGCAAGUCGAACGCGAAAGGGGCUUCGGCCCUGAGUAGAGUGGCAAACGGGUGAGUAACACGUGGGUGACCUGCCUUCGAGCGGGGGAUAACGUUCCGAAAGGAGCGCUAAUACCGCAUAAGACCACGACCUCUCAUGAGGAUGCGGUCAAAGGGGCGCAAGUCCCGCCGAUGUAUGGGCUCGCGGACCAUUAGCUAGUUGGCGGGGUAACGGCCCACCAAGGCCGGGAUGGUUAGCCGGUCUGAGAGGAUGAUCGGCCACACUGGAACUGAGACACGGUCCAGACUCCUACGGGAGGCAGCAGUGGGGAAUUUUGCGCAAUGGGCGAAAGCCUGACGCAGCAACGCCGCGUGGGUGACGAAGGUCUUCGGAUCGUAAAGCCCUGUCGGGAGGGAAGAACAGCCACGGGUAACGCCGGGGUUUGACGGUACCUCCCGAGGAAGCACAGGCUAACUCCGUGCCAGCCGCCGCCGUAAGAC